UACGUAGGUGGCAAGCGUUGUCCGGAUUUACUGGGCGUAAAGAGCGCGCAGGCGGUCGGGUAAGUCGAAUGUGAAAGCCCCCGGCUCAACUGGGGAGGGUCAUUCGAUACUGUUCGACUCGAAGGCAGGAGAGGGAAGUGGAAUUCCCGGUGUAGUGGUGAAAUGCGUAGAUAUCAGGAGGAACACCGGUGGCGAAGGCGCCACUCUGGGCCGGUACUGACGCUGAGGAGCGAAAGCGUGGGUAGCAAACAGG
rnacentral:rRNA from 1 species